GGAAGGCCCACCCUCGACCCUGGGAGCCCGCUCCGCUCACCGCACACAUCAGGGUCAGCUGCUCAGCCACGAGGCAGGGAGGAAACGCCAAGAUGUUCGGCUCCUCCUUCCUCCACAUGUCCUGGGUGCUCGCGGCACAGGGCCUGGUGGGUUCCAGGCCCAGGUCUGGCUCUCCCUGGCCUGAUGCCAUUCCGGCAGGUGCCCUGGGCCCCGGGCCUGAGGGAUCAUGGGGCUCCAGCUCAGGGCCGGAGAGCACCCCUGGGAUGUCCCAGGUGCUCACAGCUAGCACCGGGACUGAGGCCACUGCUGGGACAUCCUCCGGCUCUGCAGGGACUGAAGCACGUGACGCCGGCUGUAGCUCCAGCACAGGGCUCUCAGGGAGCUCCUGAACUGGCUGUAGAUAGUGGUGGCACAAGAGGUACCAGGCGUGCCACCUCGGUCUCCUCCGACGUAGUGCUGGAGCAGGACACAGAGAAAGGGUCACCCCGGGCCUGAUUACCCCCACACCUUACCAAGGACAGAAAAGACCUCAUGGCCUUGCAGGGAAUUUCAGCCCGGGAAGCCCACCCUGGAUGGUCCCCUGGCCAUAGCCCCUCACCUUGCAGCUCUGCCACCGUGGGCCACAGGUACAUCUCCUGGACCAAGUGGUGGUGGACUUGGCCCUCCAGGGUAGAUGAAGGCUGGCUGUCAUGGUGGACCCUGGGCACACUCUCGGGCUCCCAGGCAAAGCACCUAGCCCGUCCCAUCCUGGGGCUGCGGGAAGGCCGGGGGGUGGCAGAGUGAGAAGCCUGGUCUUUCCAGCCACACUGCCCUCCCGGCCCAGCCUUGUGUGGGCCUGGCCUCUCUGCACUCCCCUGCCUGUCCAGGCACCUGCCCCUCCCCUUUCCUGACCCUGUGUGUCUGUCCUGGGACCCCAUCUUCUCCCAUCCUCCCGAAUAGGAAGUCCCCAGUCGUCAGCCCGCCCAUGGGAAUCCAAAGAUGAGUGACCUGCUGGGCUCUGCUGUGCGCCCCCUGCCGAAAGCCCCAAGCGCCUCCUCCCCCUAUUCUGUGAGAUGGGCAGUACCCCCUCUGGACCCAGUGAAUGCUUAUAUUUUCAAUUCCUCCUCUGGCCCCUUGUCAUGCCCCCUGUUCCUGGAAGAGGCCAAGAGGGCAUCACCUGUGACACUCCCCGGCCAUGACCUGAGGAUGACGCCUGAAGUGAUUGACAGAGUCCACCGGGGACGGGGUCCCAGUAUUUCAUCUGCUUCCUUCAGUACCCCUCUGCUGUCCCCAGAGGUCCCCCAUGUGGCCACAGUGAGGACAAAGACCAGGCCCAGCCGCAGAGAAUCGCAAGCCUCCGUUCCAAAGGCUGCUUCCCAUGUGCUUUUCCAAAUGAGCCAGGCUCCAGGCCACUGACGGGAAGAGAACAAAGAGCAUUUUCCUGACCAAUACUUACACACUGGGUGCUUGGGGACCAAGUGAUGAAGCCCCACGUGCAGCAGUAGCUGCAAUCUGAGACACUCCGAUCACGGUGACCAUCACGCACUGUCAUCUCCAAGAUUCGUCCG